AUUGAACGCUGGCGGCAUGCUUUACACAUGCAAGUCGAACGGUAACAGGCCGCAAGGUGCUGACGAGUGGCGAACGGGUGAGUAAUGCAUCGGAACGUGCCCAGUCGUGGGGGAUAACUACUCGAAAGAGUAGCUAAUACCGCAUACGAUCUAUGGAUGAAAGCGGGGGACCGUAAGGCCUCGCGCGAUUGGAGCGGCCGAUGUCAGAUUAGGUAGUUGGUGGGGUAAAGGCUCACCAAGCCAACGAUCUGUAGCUGGUCUGAGAGGACGACCAGCCACACUGGGACUGAGACACGGCCCAGACUCCUACGGGAGGCAGCAGUGGGGAAUUUUGGACAAUGGGCGCAAGCCUGAUCCAGCAGUGCCGCGUGCAGGAAGAAGGCCUUCGGGUUGUAAACUGCUUUUGUACGGAACGAAACGGCUCUGGUUAAUACCCGGGGCUAAUGACGGUACCGUAAGAAUAAGCACCGGCUAACUACGUG
rnacentral:rRNA from 1 species